GUAGGUGGCAAGCGUUAUCCGGAAUUAUUGGGCGUAAAGCGCGCGCAGGCGGUUUCUUAAGGUCUGAUGUGAAAGCCCACGGGCUCAACCGUGGAGGGUCAUUGGAAACUGGGGAACUUGAGUGCAGAAGAGAAAAGCGGAAUUCCACGUGUAGCGGUGAAAUGCGUAGAGAUGUGGAGGAACACCAGUGGCGAAGGCGGCGUUUUUGGUCUGUAACUGACGCUGAGGCGCGAAAGCGUGGGGAGCAAACAGGAUUAGAUACCCUGGUAGUCCACGCCGUAAACGAUGAGUGCUAAGUGUUAGAGGGUUUCCGCCCUUUAGUGCUGCAGCUAACGCAUUAAGCACUCCGCCUGGGGAGUACGGUCGCAAAGACUG
rnacentral:rRNA from 1 species